rnacentral:lncRNA from 1 species
AGUGUUUUGAGUAGAAAUUCAUUGGGAAGUAUUGAAGUGGGUGUUGAGAUACUUAAAGGGUUCAUCUAUCUUGUGUUUGAUGUUUAAAAUGGACAAAGAGGGGGUAAUUUUAAAAGGUUAUACAGAUUCUGAUUUUGUUGAAAAUAGAGAUAAUAGAAAAUCAAUUUCAUCUUAUUUUUACACUUUGUGUGGUACUGUGAUAAGUUGGAAAUCUCAGUUACAAAAAAUUGUUGCUCUAUCUUCCACGGAGGCUGAAUAUACUGCCGCUACUGAUGUCAUUAAGAAGGCAUAAUGGCUGAAUAGUUUGUUGAAUGAACUUGAUUUUAUAGACACUAAUCCAAUACUAUAUUCUGACGAUCAAAGUGCAAUCCAUUUGAGUAAGAAUCCCAUGUUUCAUGAUAGAACUAAACAUUUUGAUGUAAAAUAUCACUUUAUAAGGGAUAUUAUAUCAAAAGGAUUGCUGAAAAUAAAUAAAAUUCCUACUUUGUAUAAUCCAUCAGAUAUGGGAACUAAGGUGAUACCUUUAAAUAAGUUUCAAAACUGUUUAAAGAUGUUAUCUAUUGAUUCUUUUCAUUGAAUGUACAGGUACUUGGAGCAAAUGACAUUAUAAAUGUUGGUAAAGCUCGUGGGUGCACUAUAGCCUUAAAUUUUGGAAGCAAGGUGGAGAUUGUUGAAAAUUAAACCUGUGGCAGUAAAAGAUGUGCUUCCAAAAUUGAAGAAAACGUGUUUUACAAAUAGCAACUCUAUUAGUUGAGGCAAUCAACAAGAUCUUGACAAGUGGCACAAUUGUGGCUGUCCAAUCUUGUGCUAGUGACUUGCAAUAUAUAAAUCUGGAGUGCUCCAUUGACCGGCAUAUUCUGAGAGGAGAAAAAAUUCAGAAAUUAUUCUUGUUGUUGAGUUCGACUCACCCCUUUCUCUCUCUAAAAGAAUUCCUAACUUCUUGGUGAUUUAGGGUUCUAAUACUUGAGUGAUUUUAGUGAUUAAAUGCAUAUGUGAUGCUGUGAAUAGAAUCUAUUCUUGCUGCUGGGAAUUAUUUUCAGAUUUGAGAGACAUUAUUCUUCAUCUUGGCAGCCCUUUUCUAGUCUCUCUUUCUUCCCUGCAUGAAAACCAUUAUUCCAGUGAAUGAAUGUUGAGAAAUCUUUUGUAAUGUGAUAUACCCAUAUAGUUGUGGACUGCUCGAUGUUAUCUUUGCAAGAAUCUGUGAGAUUUGCAAGUGAGCAGUGGCGAGUCUUGGAAGAUCUGUGUGAUCUUGGGCUGAUUCCUUAGUGGAUGUUAUUAUGCUUUGUUAUUUCUCUGGAGAUAAG